GACGAACGCUGGCGGCGUGCUUAACACACGCAAGUCGAGCGGUAAGGCCCUUUCGGGGGUACGACGAGCGGCGAACGGGUGAGUAACACGUGGGUGACCUGCCCUCAGCUCUGGGAUAAGCCUGGGAAACUGGGUCUAAUACUGGAUAUGACUCCACGGUGCAUGUCGUGGGGUGGAAAGCCUUGUGCGGCCGAGGAUGGGCCCGCGGCCUAUCAGCUUGUUGGUGGGGUGAUGGCCACCAAGGCGACGACGGGUAGCCGGCCUGAGAGGGCGACCGGCCACACUGGGACUGAGACACGGCCCAGACUCCUACGGGAGGCAGCAGUGGGGAAUCUUGCGCAAUGGGCGAAAGCCUGACGCAGCGACGCCGCGUGAGGGAUGACGGCCU
rnacentral:rRNA from 1 species